rnacentral:rRNA from 1 species
AUUGAACGCUAGCGGCAUGCCUUACACAUGCAAGUCGAACGGAGUGGCGAACGGGUGAGUAAUGUAUCGGAACGAGCCCAGUAGCGGGGGAUAACUACGCGAAAGCGUAGCUAAUACCGCAUACUAUUGGAGCGGCCGAUGUGGGCUUUGCUAGGUGGUGGGGUAACGGCUCACCAAGGUGACGAUGCGUAGCCGGUUUGAGAGGACGACCAGCCACACUGGGACUGAGACACGGCCCAGACUCCUACGGGAGGCAGCAGUGGGGAAUUUUGGGCAAUGGGCGAAACCCUGAGCCAGCCACCCCGCGUGUGCGAUGAAGGCCUUCGGGUUGUAAAGCACUGUUGGCAGGGAAGCGGUACCUGCAGAAUAAGCACCGGCUAACUACGUGCCAGCAGCCGCGGUAAUAC